rnacentral:lncRNA from 1 species
GGGUAGUUCCACCAUAUGUCUUUUUCUAUUCUAGAAGGCAUUUGAAAUUUCUAUGCAAAUACCUUCCUCGAUUUUUUGCCUAAGACCUUGAAUUGGAUAGUAACAUAGAAAAUGUAGAAAGAUAAGUGGAUAGCUAGUCUAUCCCAAAAGUAGCUAAAAACUCCAUCUACAAAUAUGGAGGCCUCAAAAUCAUCUCUGACCCAAUGAUCAGAGUAGUAAAAAGAAUAAUGUUGAUCAGAAUUAAUUUUGAGGCCUGAAAAUGGCUAUGCAAUUUGAGGUUAGACAGAAGAACAAAUAUUAUUUCUCUACUAUCUCCUUAUCCUUCCCUUAUUCAACUAGCUCUGGUACCACUAAGGCCCAGGCUUUAUUAAUAGAUAGUAAAGAGAUGAAGAAGGCAACAAAAUUGAAGCAUGUAAAGAGCAAGAUUGAAUAUUGAAAAAAUUCUAAAUUGGUUCUCAAGUUGGAAUAUAAAUUAGCUCUCAAGAAGGAAUGCCAUUUGGCUCUCUAAUUGCCAUACCUGAACUCUGGAAACUCCAGCUGGUUCUCAACUAGGAAUUCUAAUGAGGCUCUCAACUUGGAAUACUAACUUACUCUCAACUUGCUAUACUAACUUGGAGUUUUGAAUUCAUAAAAGAAAGAAAGUAAGAAUGAAAAAAGCAAAAUAUUGAAAUUCUAAAUUUUUUAUGCUUACAAACAAGCUUCUCAAACUUGGAGAUCAUAACCUUUUGUUCUUCGGUGAUUCCAAGAUUGAAAAAUAAAUUGGAGUAACAAAGGGAACAUGAGAGAUAAAAAAUAAUUAAAAAUUUUUAUUGAAAAAAUUUGACAGUUACAGCUCUUGAUUUUUGAUGACUUCGAAUGGAUACACCAAAGUAGGGGUGCAAGGAUAUUUUAGUUGAGGAUAAUUUUUAGAGAGGAUUUUUGAUACAAGAAAUGAGUUUUUGGAGAGGUCUUUUGAAGUCUCUAUUGAAUCCU